CCUACGGGUGGCAGCAGUGAGGAAUAUUGGUCAAUGGACGAGAGUCUGAACCAGCCAAGUAGCGUGAAGGAUGACUGCCCUAUGGGUUGUAAACUUCUUUUAUAAAGGAAUAAAACGAGGCACGUGUGCCUUUUUGCAUGUACUUUAUGAUUAAGGAUCGGCUAACUCCGUGCCAGCAGCCGCGGUAAUACGGAGGAUCCGAGCGUUAUCCGGAUUUAUUGGGUUUAAAGGGAGCGUAGAUGGGUUGUUAAGUCAGUUGUGAAAGUUGGCGGCGCAACCGUAAAAUUGCAAUUGAUACUGGCAGUCGUGAGUACAGUUGAGGUAGGCGGAAUUCGUGGUGUAGCGGUGAAAUGCUUAGAUAUCACGAAGAACCCCGAUUGCGAAGGCAGCUUACUAAACUGUGACUGACAUUGAUGCUCGAAAGUGUGGGUAUCAAACAGGAUUAGAUACCCUUGUAGUC
rnacentral:rRNA from 1 species